CCUACGGGAGGCAGCAGUGAGGAAUAUUGGUCAAUGGCCGUAAGCCUGAACCAGCCAAGUCGCGUGAAGGAUGAAGGAUCUAUGGUUUGUAAACUUCUUUUAUAUGGGAAUAAAGGGAUGCACGUGUUCCUUUUUGUAUGUACCAUAUGAAUAAGCAUCGGCUAACUCCGUGCCAGCAGCCGCGGUAAUACGGAGGAUGCGAGCGUUAUCCGGAUUUAGUGGGUUUAAAGGGUGCGUAGGUUGUUGUUUAAGUCAGCGGUGAAAGUUUGUGGCUCAACCAUAAAAUUGCCGUUGAAACUGGUAGACUUGAGUAUAUUUGAGGUAGGCGGAAUGCGUGGUGUAGCGGUGAAAUGCAUAGAUAUCACGCAGAACUCCGAUUGCGAAGGCAGCUUACUAAGCCAUAACUGACACUGAAGCACGAAAGCGUGGGGAUCAAACAGGAUUAGAUACCCGUGUAGUC
rnacentral:rRNA from 1 species